GACGAACGCUGGCGGCGUGCUUAACACAUGCGAGUCGAACGGAAAGGCCCUGCUUUUGUGGGGUGCUCGAGUGGCGAACGGGUGAGUAACACGUGAGUAACCUGCCCUUGACUUUGGGAUAACUUCAGGAAACUGGGGCUAAUACCGGAUAGGAGCUCCUGCUGCAUGGUGGGGGUUGGAAAGUUUCGGCGGUUGGGGAUGGACUCGCGGCUUAUGAGCUUGUUGGUGGGGUAGUGGCUUACCAAGGCUUUGACGGGUAGCCGGCCUGAGAGGGUGACCGGCCACAUUGGGACUGAGAUACGGCCCAGACUCCUACGGGAGGCAGCAGUGGGGAAUAUUGCACAAUGGGCGGAAGCCUGAUGCAGCAACGCCGCGUGCGGGAUGACGGCCUUCGGGUUGUAAACCGCUUUCGCCUGUGACGAAGCGUGAGUGACGGUAAUGGGUAAAGAAGCACCGGCUAACUACGUG
rnacentral:rRNA from 1 species